rnacentral:rRNA from 1 species
GAUGAACGCUGGCGGCGUGCCUAAUACAUGCAAGUCGAGCGAACAGACGAGGAGCUUGCUCCUCUGACGUUAGCGGCGGACGGGUGAGUAACACGUGGAUAACCUACCUAUAAGACUGGGAUAACUUCGGGAAACCGGAGCUAAUACCGGAUAAUAUAUUGACCCGCAUGGUUCAAUCGUUAAAGACGGUUUUUCUUUCACUUAUAGAUGGAUCCGCGCCGCAUUAGCUAGUUGGUAAGGUAACGGCUUACCAAGGCAACGAUGCGUAGCCGACCUGAGAGGGUGAUCGGCCACACUGGAACUGAGACACGGACCAGAAUCCUAAGGGAGGCAGCAGUAGGGAAUCUUCGGCAAGGGGCGAAAGCUUGACUGAGCAACGCGGCGUGAGUGAUGAAGGGCAUCGGAUCGUAAAACUCUGUUAUUAGGGAAGAACAAAUGUGUAAGUAACUAUGCAAGUAUUGAAGGUACCGAAUCAGAAAGCCACGGCUAACUAGGU